rnacentral:rRNA from 1 species
AACUCAAAUGAAUUGACCGGGGGCCCGCACAAGCGGUGGAGCAUGUGGUUUAAUUCGAUGCAACGCGAAGAACCUUACCUACUCUUGACAUCCAGAGAACUUUCCAGAGAUGGAUUGGUGCCUUCGGGAACUCUGAGACAGGUGCUGCAUGGCUGUCGUCAGCUCGUGUUGUGAAAUGUUGGGUUAAGUCCCGCAACGAGCGCAACCCUUAUCCUUGUUUGCCAGCGAGUAAUGUCGGGAACUCCAGGGAGACUGCCGGUGAUAAACCGGAGGAAGGUGGGGACGACGUCAAGUCAUCAUGGCCCUUACGAGUAGGGCUACACACGUGCUACAACGGCGCAUACAGAGGGCGGCCAACUUGCGAAAGUGAGCGAAUCCCAAAAAGUGCGUCGUAGUCCGGAUUGGAGUCUGCAACUCGACUCCAUGAAGUCGGAAUCGCUAGUAAUCGUGGAUCAGAAUGCCACGGUGAAUACGUUCCCGGGCCUUGUACACACCGCCCGUCACACCAUGGGAGUGGGCUGCAAAAGAAGUGGGUAGUUUAACCUUCGGGAGGACGCUCACCACUUUGUGGUUCAUGACUGGGGUGAAGUCGUAACAAGGUAACCGUAAAGGGCGAAUUCCGCGGCCGCU